rnacentral:rRNA from 1 species
AGCGAACGCUGGCGGCAGGCCUAACACAUGCAAGUCGAACGCCCCUUCGGGGGAGUGGCGGACGGGUGAGUAACGCGUGGGAAUGUGCCCUUUGGUACGGAACAACUGAGGGAAACUUCAGCUAAUACCGUAUGUGCCCUACGGGGGAAAGAUUUAUCGCCAUUGGAGCAGCCCGCGUUGGAUUAGGUAGUUGGUGGGGUAAUGGCCCACCAAGCCGACGAUCCAUAGCUGGUCUGAGAGGAUGAUCAGCCACACUGGGACUGAGACACGGCCCAGACUCCUACGGGAGGCAGCAGUGGGGAAUCUUGCGCAAUGGGCGAAAGCAUGACGCAGCCAUGCCGCGUGAAUGAUGAAGGUCUUAGGAUUGUAAAAUUCUUUCACCGGGGAAGAUAAUGACGGUACCCGGAGAAGAAGCCCCGGCUAACUUCGUG